UGUAAGCUACAGGACAGCAAGUUCUCUCAGGUCCAGUUCCAAUCUGCUUCUUGCUAGCACCUGUGAAAUCUUUGGUGCUGUUCUCAAUCAGAAGCCAUGGCUCUUGGACUCCAUUUGUGAGUUAGAUCUCUCCCAAAAGCCCCUGAGCCACCCAGACCUCUGCCACCUCAUAAAAGCUUCAUCAUUCAGUCCAAGAAUGUCUACCAGCACCGAUAGCU